GGAUAACCUAGUUGCCCAGUCUCAGGGUUUGCCAGAGAGGGGCGGGGUUAAAAAGGCCCACUGGGCUGUACCUGCCCGAAGCCCAGCCUCCUCCCAGCACACCUGCCUCCACACCUGCAGCCACUCUAGCUCCUGCCCAGAUGUCACGUGGCACACACCUCACAGACGCGGAGAAAAAGCUUAUUGCUUCUGGUGAGAAUGGCCGCCUCAAAGCCAUCUUUGCUUUGCUCUCCAGGUUACUAGUGAAUUCAGUUUUUGCCAGUUAUCAAGAUUCUCCCAGCAGAUGCGCGAGGGAGUGACCGGCAACAAGCUAGAUUUUUAGCAGCUGAAGUCAAUCGCUGUCGGGCCCGUGAACCUAUCUUGGCUGGACCUGGAGUGAGGAAGCAGCUAGAACUGGCUCCAGAAAUGUUUCCUGUGUUUCAGCAGCAUUUUAGCUCUUUAGCAAAUUCCAGCUUUAUCCCACGACCUUGGCUACGAUGAAAAUGGGAUUAUACUUAUCUCUGCUAUUUCAGACGGACUGGCGGGAGUCCCUUCGAUAACAUCAAGAUGGCAGAGAGGCGGUCUUUUGGAAUCUUGAUCCUGACCCUAACAGGUCCGGGGGUGCCCAAGAUGCCGCAUGGGAAGCAAGGUGGCUGGUGCUCAGAUCACACCUCCCUCGAGCAGCACGAGGCUCAGGUUGACUCAAGGCUCUGCCAUGCACCGUCCUGGCUCCAGGACACAACUGAUGAGGCAGCUGUUGUCUGGAGCGUUGCUGGUUCCUGGGGCAGAGGAAAGGAACUAUCUGGAGAAACUCACGCAGGCAAUUAA
rnacentral:lncRNA from 1 species